rnacentral:rRNA from 1 species
AGUGAACGCUGGCGGUAGGCCUAACACAUGCAAGUCGAACGGCAGCACAGUAAGAGCUUGCUCUUACGGGUGGCGAGUGGCGGACGGGUGAGGAAUACAUCGGAAUCUACUUUUUCGUGGGGGAUAUCGUAGGGAAACUUACGCUAAUACCGCAUACGACCUACGGGUGAAAGCAGGGGAUCUUCGGACCUUGCGCGAUUGAAUGAGCCGAUGUCGGAUUAGCUAGUUGGCGGGGUAAAGGCCCACCAAGGCGACGAUCCGUAGCUGGUCUGAGAGGAUGAUCAGCCACACUGGAACUGAGACACGGUCCAGACUCCUACGGGAGGCAGCAGUGGGGAAUAUUGGACAAUGGGCGCAAGCCUGAUCCAGCCAUACCGCGUGGGUGAAGAAGGCCUUCGGGUCGUAAAGCCCUUUUGUUGGGAAAGAAAAGCAGCAGGUUAAUACCCCGCUGUUCUGACGGUACCCAAAGAAUAAGCACCGGCUAACUUCGUG